rnacentral:rRNA from 1 species
AUUGAACGCUGGCGGCAGGCCUAACACAUGCAAGUCGAGCGGAUGAAGGGAGCUUGCUCCUGGAUUCAGCGGCGGACGGGUGAGUAAUGCCUAGGAAUCUGCCUGGUAGUGGGGGAUAACGUCCGGAAACGGGCGCUAAUACCGCAUACGUCCUGAGGGAGAAAGUGGGGGAUCUUCGGACCUCACGCUAUCAGAUGAGCCUAGGUCGGAUUAGCUAGUUGGUGGGGUAAAGGCCUACCAAGGCGACGAUCCGUAACUGGUCUGGGAGGAUGAUCAGUCACACUGGAACUGAGACACGGUCCAGACUCCUACGGGAGGCAGCAGUGGGGAAUAUUGGACAAUGGGCGAAAGCCUGAUCCAGCCAUGCCGCGUGUGUGAAGAAGGUCUUCGGAUUGUAAAGCACUAUAAGUUGGGAGGAAGGGCAGUAAGUUAAUACCUUGCUGUUUUGACGUUACCAACAGAAUAAGCACCGGCUAACUUCGUG